GAUGAACGCUGGCGGCGUGCCUAACACAUGCAAGUCGAGCGGACAGAUGAGGCUUUUGCUCCUCUGACGUUAGCGGCGGACGGGUGAGUAACACGUGUAUAACCUACCUAUAAGUCUGGGAUCACUUCGGGACAGCGGCUCUAACACCGUAUAAUAUCUUGAACCGCGUGGGUCAUUGGUGAAAGACGUCUUUGCUGUCACUUAUAGAUGGUUCCCGGCCGGAUGGGCUAGUUGGUAGGUAAACGGCCUACCACGGCGACGAUGCGUGGCCGACCUGAGAGGGUGAUAGGCGACACGGGAACUGAGACGCGGUCCAGAGGCCUACGGGAGGCAGCAGUGGGGAAUGGGGGGCAAUGGGCGGAAGCCUGGCGGAGCGAGGCGGCGUGUGUGAUGAAGGUCUUCGGAGCGUAAAGCACGGUUAUGGGGGAGGAACGGCUGUGGAAGAAGACGGGGCGGGAGUGACGGUAACGAGUGAAGAAGCACCGGCUAACUACGUG
rnacentral:rRNA from 1 species